UCAGUGGCCAUGCCUCACGGGCCCAGCCGCUCCGCGGCACGUGGGAUCUUCCCGGACUGGGGCACGAACCUAUGUCCCCUGCGUCGGCAGGCGGACUCUCAACCGCUGCGCCACCAGGGAAGCUCCAAGGGCUGAUAUUAAUUUGGUCUUUUUCUCCACAUGAACAUCACAAUUUACAGUGCUCUAUUAAACUCAGUGGGGUUUUUUUUUUUUUUCCAACAUUAAAUAAGAUAUCUGGAGAGGGAUUCUUCUGUUUCCCUCACCCUGAGAGCAGUUGUUUCAUUGAAUACCUUCUAAUUACCUGACUAGUCAGACGUGUUUAUCCACUGGGAAGGGAAGCAUGUAUUGAAUACCUACUUUGGGUUCAUUUAGUCAACAAAAAUAUAUUGAGCAUCUAGUAAGUGAGAGGCACUGAAACUACAAAGAAUAAAACAGACAUGGUCCCUACCCUCACAAUGCUGAAAAUCUAGUCAAAGGGAACGAGUAAGUAAGCAAUUACAAUAUGUGUAAGUGCUAUGACAGAAACAAAGAUCGUUUAAGAGCACAUAGGAGGGGCAGUGAACCAUACUUGGGAGGUCAGAGAAGCCUGACUUGAAGGAAGAGGACAGGGGAAGGUGGCAGUGGAGGCAGUGGGAAGAGGAUUCCUAGCGAGGGAUGAGCUUGUGCAGAGGCUCAGCACCAGUAGAGAGCAGUGCAUAUUUGAGGAACUGAAACUGAAUGUAGCUAAGUGGAAAGUAUAAAAAAGGGGAGGAAAAGAUACAGGCGGGAGACACAUCAGACAGGGCUUUUGUAAGAAAAGCCAAGGUGUCCUUGAGCUCAAUCCUGAUAGCCAUAGGGAGACGGGGAAUGACGAGAUCAGAUCUGCACUUUUGAAAGAUCACUCUCUCUGACUGCUGUGGAGAACAGGUAUGCAAGACUGGAUGCAGAGAAACAAAAAGUUGCAGAAUAGCCCAAGUGAGUGAUGAUGGGGAACUGCAUACAGGAAGUAGCGGUGGGAAUGGAGAGAGGCAGAUGCAUCUUAAACAUUUAAUGUAUUUAAAAGACUUGGCAGGACUUUAUGACUGACCAGAUGAAAGAGGAGCCAUGACUCUGGCUUGGGCAACUAGACAGAUGGUAGUUCAUUCCCUGUAUAGUAUAACAGAAGAGCAGGUUUAUAGGGAAGGGGAGGAGGAUGAAUGUAGUUUGAGAUCACUAUAAACUAUCCAUGAUGCUGUUCUGUUGGCAGUUGAAUGUAUGAUUCUGAAACCGAAAAUAAGAUCCACCUUGGAGAUAUGGAUUUGGAGAGUAUCAGCCUGAGGUCCUAUGAGUAAGACCUCCCAGGAAGCUGUGACCCAACCAGAUGGAACAUUAACAUGAAGGGGUAGGGUGGAAGAAGAGAAACCCAUAGGAAAGACUGAGAGAUGUCAGAGGAAAAAAAAAAGAAAACCAGAAGAGAUCGCUGACGUGGAAGUCAAGAGAAGAGAACCCAUUAAGAGGGCUGGUCUCAGUGUCAAAUUACUGAGGAGCAAAGUAAGUCAAGGGUUGAGCAAUAUUCAUUGGAUUUAGCUACAAGGAAGGUGUCUGUGACCUUGACAACUGCAUUUUCAAGGAGUGAGAGAAGUAGAAGCCAAGCUUCAGAGGUUUGAGGAUGAAGAAGUGGAGACCUGGAAAAGUCAAAUAGUUUGGUUAUGGAGGGGAGGAGAUGGAGAGGGAGAAGCCAAGGAGAGAAGGGAGGGAAGGGAGUAAAUAGGGAAUAGAGGAGAGGCAAGAAGGGGAGAGGAGGAGAAGGGAGAAAACUGGACAGAGAUGCAAGGUUGAAGGAAAGAUUUUUGUGUGUUUGCUUUGCAGAUUAGAGCUACUUAAGGAUGUUUGAAGGCUGAAAGGAAGGAGCCUUUGGAGGAGGGGAGGAGGAUAAUGGAUAGAGCAUAGGAUGGAGGAGAUUGGAUCCAUAGCACAUGGGAAGAAUUAGCCUGAGACAAGCUAAUUUCAUUGUAACUGGAGAAAAGGGGAAAAAACCAACGGUGUGGAUAUAAGCAAUGUUGGAGGUGGGCAGCUGAGGGGGGAAGUUCUUAUCUAAUGGUUUCUUGUAUCUUCCCUCUGAAAUAAGCAGAGAGGGAAAUAGGAGAAGAAAGAAUGAAAAUUUGAGGAGCAUGAAGGAGGUUUGAAGUGGCUACUGGAGAGAAUUGGAGACACUGCUGGGCAGCACUGAGGACCCAGUGCAUGGCAGCCAGUGGGUACCAGAAUCCCGACCACACUCAACCACCCAGCACGUCUCACAGGCACUCCACGAGGUGAUUUCUUCCCCAUCCUGACUUGCAGCACCUCAUUUCAGCACUCCUACAUAAUGAGCCUCACCUGGGAAGGACAGACAUCUAUGCCAUAGUUUGAAAAGAUCCCUUUUCUCUUCCUCACACCACGUUUAUUAGUUUUCAAAGACCAUAUGGUGCUAAUUGAUGAUAAAAGUAACAGCGUGAAUCACAGGCUGUUUUAUGGACCAGUCCCUACUUCAUCUUGAACGGGAUGACAUAAAGCAGGCAUCCAUGGGGCCACUGACAUAAAACAACCCCGAGUCCCCACCUGCAGAGAGGCAGUGAGUACCCAAACACUGUUUAUUGAUGUUUUUAACCUUAUAGUUAAAUUCCAUGCUUC